rnacentral:lncRNA from 1 species
AUGCAGUACUUGCAGCAGACCACUGAUUCCCCUCGGAUCGUGUUCAGGUAUUGCAUCUUUCUGGAUGAUGAAACAAUAUACCUCCUGAAUCAUCAGCACCGUGUCGUGGAGCAUCUUGGUGUCCCACACAAUUCUUCCCCUUCAGGUAUUAUGACCAAGCUCAGCCCCUCUGUGUUUGUGAAGUAUCACAGUCUCCUGUAUUGCCCAGUAAGAUCCAGUCUUGGUGCCUACCAGUGUGCUAAGUGCCUGCUCUUGCUUUGGCUAAAGUGGUUAGUCUUAUUUCCAAAGCUCCCCUUGCCUCAGAUAGCAGCCUAGGGCUGCAGGGUAUACUUUUUCUAGCAAGGAAAUGGCUAUCAGCCCAAAGUCAGUAAAUCAGAAGAACAAAGGCAAGCUUGUAAGGAAAUCUUCUGGAAAUACCUUUAUUACCCAGCCUUCCCUUAGCUUCAUUGCAUUCAGACUUGUUUAUGCAUGUGACACUGGCUCAAAAAUAGCUUUAUGCUCACUGUGCUGCUUUUAUUUUCUUUAGACUACAGAUGCCCAGGGCCUGGUCCAAAGUCUACCGGAACAAAUGGGACUCUUUCCACUGCUUUCAGUGGAGUUUGGAUCACAUUCCUCAGGAGGGUCACGUUCAUUUCCUCCUAAAAUUACAAAGCAUCUGAAAAUAGACGGCAUCAGAUUAGCUUAUUCUUGAAAGAUUUGCAAGAUGAUCUCAUGAAGUCUGACAAAUCAGAUGUCUCUAGAUCAAUAUGUGGAUGCUCUGUCUCAGAUGGACUUUUUGGAGAGUUACUCAUCUCAAGUAGAAAGGCAUAAUGAAGAACAAGUUUUGCCUUUUGGUGGCUCCUAGUUACAGCUUUUUUUCACCAAACCAAUUUCAAUAACUAGUACACUUGGGAGGUUAGAGUCUUUCAUUAUUUAACAAGGAACACCAUAAUCUACAAGCACUGUCUCCCUAAAUAUAGUUGCAGAUAGGGAGAAAAUGUUUCUACCACAGGGGUGGGCAAAAUGCAGCCCGGGGGCCAGGUGUGGCCUGACAGGCUAUUCUAUCUGGCCCGCAGGGUUCCUAAAAAAUGAAUAUUUAUCUGCCCUGGCCUGCCUGUCAUGCAGCCCUUAAUGGCUUGCCAAAACUCAGUAAGCAGCCCUCCACCCAAAAUAAUUGCCCACCCCUGCUCUACGACUUUUGUCAUCACUGUAGAAAGGCAAAUGCUAUAUUUAUAAUUGCACCGACUUCUUAGGGACCCAUGUUUGCAGUCUCUGCUGUAAUUAAGUACCAAUAAAGCCAGCUACACACUGGCUGUGUCUACA